rnacentral:rRNA from 1 species
CGGCAACAGCUCAAAUUUGAAAUCUGGCUCUUCUAGGGUCCGAGUUGUAAUUUGUAGAGGAUGCUUUUGGUGCGGUGCCUUCCGAGUUCCCUGGAACGGGACGCCUUAGAGGGUGAGAGCCCCGUACGGUUGGACGCCUAGCCUCUGUAAAGCUCCUUCGAC